rnacentral:rRNA from 1 species
GUAGGUGGCAAGCGUUGUCCGGAAUUAUUGGGCGUAAAGCGCGCGCAGGCGGUCCUUUAAGUCUGAUGUGAAAGCCCACGGCUCAACCGUGGAGGGUCAUUGGAAACUGGGGGACUUGAGUACAGAAGAGGAAAGCGGAAUUCCAAGUGUAGCGGUGAAAUGCGUAGAGAUUUGGAGGAACACCAGUGGCGAAGGCGGCUUUCUGGUCUGUAACUGACGCUGAGGCGCGAAAGCGUGGGGAGCAAACAGGAUUAGAUACCCUGGUAGUCCACGCCGUAAACGAUGAGUGCUAAGUGUUAGGGGGUUUCCCGCCCCCUUAGUGCUGCAGCUAACGCAUUAAGCACUCCGUCUGGGGAGUACGGCCGCAAGGCUG